rnacentral:rRNA from 1 species
GAUGAACGCUGGCGGCGUGCCUAAUACAUGCAGGUCGAGCGAACGGACGAGAAGCUUGCUUCUCUGAUGUUAGCGGCGGACGGGUGAGUAACACGUGGAUAACCUACCUAUAAGACUGGGAUAACUUCGGGAAACCGGAGCUAAUACCGGAUAAUAUUUUGAACCGCAUGGUUCAAAAGUAAAAGACGGUCUUGCUGUCACUUAUAGAUGGAUCCGCGCUGCAUUAGCUAGUUGGUAAGGUAACGGCUUACCAAGGCAACGAUGCAUAGCCGACCUGAGAGGGUGAUCGGCCACACUGGAACUGAGACACGGUCCAGACUCCUACGGGAGGCAGCAGUAGGGAAUCUUCCGCAAUGGGCGAAAGCCUGACGGAGCAACGCCGCGUGAGUGAUGAAGGUCUUCGGAUCGUAAAACUCUGUUAUUAGGGAAGAACAUAUGUGUAAGUAACUGUGCACAUCUUGACGGUACCUAAUCAGAAAGCCACGGCUAACUACGUG